rnacentral:rRNA from 1 species
CCUACGGGAGGCUGCAGUGAGGAAUAUUGGUCAAUGGGCGUAAGCCUGAACCAGCCAAGUCGCGUGAGGGAUGAAGGUUCUAUGGAUCGUAAACCUCUUUUAUAAGGGAAUAAAGUGCGGGACGUGUCCCGUUUUGUAUGUACCUUAUGAAUAAGGAUCGGCUAACUCCGUGCCAGCAGCCGCGGUAAUACGGAGGAUCCGAGCGUUAUCCGGAUUUAUUGGGUUUAAAGGGUGCGUAGGCGGCUUUUUAAGUCAGCUGUGAAAGUUUGUGGCUCAACCAUAGAAUUGCCUUUGAAACUGGGAGGCUUGAGUAUGUUUGAGGUAGGCGGAAUGCGUGGUGUAGCGGUGAAAUGCUUAGAUAUCACGCAGAACCCCGAUUGCGAAGGCAGCUUGCCAAGCUAUGACUGACGCUGAUGCACGAAAGCGUGGGGAUCAAACAGGAUUAGAUACCCGGGUAGUC